CAGGCGGCAGUCAGGUGACCGACUGCGGCCCGGGAAGAUGGCAGCGGGAGGGGAGGCCUGGGCUCUCCCUCACACACAUCUGCAGGGACAUCUUCUCCGUUUCCUUACCUCAGUGCUUCUGCUUCUAUUGACAUAUCUGAACGUGUCUGGUGACCCAUUGGCUCUGAUCCAAACCUUCUCAGUUAUACUCCAAAAAUUGCAACUGCAUCAAAACUCAUCCAAUUAAUGGCACACUCCUCAGCAAAUGAAGCAGCUCAUGCCAGCAUGCAGCAAGGACUUAGACAACAUUUAGGCAUGGAAUGAUUAGUGAAAAUACUCUUUGUGCUACAGAAGUGCCAGCAAGUUAUCAUCUCCAACAAGAGAGUCCAUCCAGCUACUCUGGACAUUUAGUAACAUCAACAUUGCUGAGUUCCUCACCAUCAGUAUCCCAGGGGUCACCAAUGACCAGAAUCUCGGAUGGGCCACCCACAUAAAUACUAUGGCUGCAAGGUCAUGUCAGAGUCUAGGUAUCCUGUGUUGAGUGACUCAUCUCCUGAUACCCCAAGGCCUUUCCACCAUCUACAAGGCACAACUCAUGAGUGUGUUGGAAUACUGUACACAUGCUUUGACGAGUGUCAACAACUAUCAAAAGGUUGACACCACCCAGAACAAAGAAGCUCGCUUGAUUGGCACCCCAUGCACCUGCCCAAGACCACAAGAAAUUGCAGAGAGUUGUGAACGCAGCCCAGUCCAUCACGAAAACCGGUCUCCCCCUCCAUUGAUUCUGUCUACACUUUCCGCUGCCUCAGGAGAACAGCCAACUUAAUCAAAGACCCCUUCCAACCCAGUCAAUCUCUCUUCUCACCAGUUAGAAGAUACAAGAGCUUGAGAAACACAUACCACUGGGCUCAAGGACAGCUUCUAACCUGCCGUUAUAAGAUUCUUGAAUGGACCUCUUAUACAAUAAAAGUGAACUCUUGAUCUCUCAAUCUACCUCGUCAAGGCCCUUGCACUUUAUUUGCUACCUGCACUGCACUUUCCUUGUAACUGUAACAUUACAUUCUGUUGUUUUUUUUCUUUUGUACUACUUUGAUGUACUUGUG